GGAGAACCCAAAUCUCAGGGAUGGAAGCAGUAUACAUUCCAAGACCAAUGUAUCUGAGCUGAACAUGAUCUCUACAACCUGCCUGAUAUCACAUUACCAUGCUGCACAUGGGUACAUAAAACUGUUGGACUGUUAUUUUAGAAGAUGAACAAGGAAGGACACAAUGACAUGGGUCAGCUGCUGCCUGGAAUAUACCUUCAUGGCAUGAUACAGCUGUUUAAUGGUCCACUGCUAGUUCCUCAAGGGAUCAAACUUGGGACCUUGCACUUGUGAGGCAGAUGGCAGAACCACUGAGCUAAAUCCCUGGCUGUUUCCAGAACUACUUUGGAAAGUGGCAAGAACAACUGGGUAUUUUGAGAGG
rnacentral:lncRNA from 1 species